CAAUAGCGUAUAUUAAAGUUGUUGCAGUUAAAAAGCUCGUAGUUGGAUUUCGGGACGGGCCAGUUGGUCCGCCGCAAGGUGUGUUACUGACUGGUCUGUUCUUCUUCGCAAAGACUGCGUGUGCUCUUCGUUGAGUGCGCGUAGGAUUUACGACGUUUACUUUGAAAAAAUUAGAGUGUUCAAAGCAGGCUAUCGCUUGAAUACAUGAGCAUGGAAUAAUGGAAUAGGACUUUGGUCCUAUUUUGUUGGUUUCUAGGACCGAAGUAAUGAUUAAGAGGGACAAUUGGGGGCAUCCGUAUUUCGUUGUCAGAGGUGAAAUUCUUGGAUUUACGAAAGACGAACAACUGCGAAAGCACUUGCCAAGAGUGUUUUCAUUAA
rnacentral:rRNA from 1 species